GCCAUCGUAGCUCAGGGGUAGAGCAAUCGCCUCGUAAGCGAUAGGUCGUGGGUUCGAAUCCCACCGAUGGCU
rnacentral:tRNA from 1 species